AGCUUAAUAAAGACCAGGGUACAGGUUGAAACGUUGCAGUGUCCAAUCUGAUUUAUCACAGCUUGAUAAAGACCUGGGUACAGGUUGAAACGUUGCAGUGUCCCAUAAAUCUGCCUGAUUAAUCACAGCUUGAUAAAGACCUGGGUACAGGUUGAAACGUUGCAGUGUCCCAUAAAUCUGCCUGAUUAAUCACAGCUUGAUAAAGACCUGGGUACAGGUCGAAUAGUUGCAGUGUCCCAUAAAUCUGCCUGAUUAAUCACAGCUUGAUAAAGACCUGGGUACAGGUCGAAACGUUGCAGUGUCCCAUAAAUCUGCCCGAUUAAUCACAGCUUGAUAAAGACCUGGGUACAGGUCGAAACGUUGCAGUGUCCCAUAAAUCUGCCCGAUUAAUCACAGCUUGAUAAAGACCUGGGUACAGGUCGAAACGUUGCAGUGUCCCAUAAAUCUGCC